GUGGGGGAAGAAAGGGGGGUUAUUUGCCCUCUGUCCUUGCUGCUGCUUCGGGGACUCGUCUUGGAGUGCUGGAUGUCAAAAAGGGAGACGCUGAGCCUAUCGGAGGACGGACUCGGGACAACAAGAGGAACGCGACACUGACUGACGUUUUUUUUUGUUUUUUAUUUGACUCAACCAAUCAGAGGUUUUCUUGGUGUAACUGGCAGGUAAGAGUUCAGAUGAGUUCCGACCCCUAAAUGUAAAAGGAGUGAAAGUAACCUUUUAUAUAUAUAUUUAUAUAUAAAAUCAAAAACAGCACAAACA